GGGGUAGAAGUCUUCGGGCUUUGAGACCGGCGCACGGGUGCGUAACGCGUAUGCAAUCUACCUUUUACAGAGGGAUAGCCCAGAGAAAUUUGGAUUAAUACCUCAUAGUAUUAUGAAAUGGCAUCAUUUUAUAAUUAAAGUCACAACGGUAAAAGAUGAGCAUGCGUCCCAUUAGCUAGUUGGCAAGGUAACGGCUUACCAAGGCUACGAUGGGUAGGGGUCCUGAGAGGGAGAUCCCCCACACUGGUACUGAGACACGGACCAGACUCCUACGGGAGGCAGCAGUGAGGAAUAUUGGACAAUGGGCGCAAGCCUGAUCCAGCCAUGCCGCGUGCAGGAUGACGGUCCUAUGGAUUGUAAACUGCUUUUAUACGAGAAGAAACACUACUUCGUGAAGUAGCUUGACGGUAUCGUAAGAAUAAGGAUCGGCUAACUCCGUGCCAGCAGCCGCGGUAAUACGGAGGAUCCAAGCGUUAUCCGGAAUCAUUGGGUUUAAAGGGUCCGUAGGCGGUUUAAUAAGUCAGUGGUGAAAGCCCAUCGCUCAACGGUGGAACGGCCAUUGAUACUGUUAAACUUGAAUUAUUAGGAAGUAACUAGAAUAUGUAGUGUAGCGGUGAAAUGCUUAGAGAUUACAUGGAAUACCAAUUGCGAAGGCAGGUUACUACUAAUGGAUUGACGCUGAUGGACGAAAGCGUGGGUAGCGAACAGGAUUAGAUACCCUGGUAGUCCACGCCGUAAACGAUGGAUACUAGCUGUUGGAAGCAAUUUCAGUGGCUAAGCGAAAGUGAUAAGUAUCCCAC
rnacentral:rRNA from 1 species